GUAGCAGGCAUUUCCGGAAUUUGGUCUCCUCCUAACUUCCUCAUGAGUAUCAUUUUUAUUUGUUAUUGUUGUUCCCAAAUAUUUUAACUUUGUCACACAUUCCAAGGAUUUGUUAGCCACCCCAAGACAAUUCUACCCGCCUGUCUGCUGACGAAAUACUAACAUAUACUUAGUUUUUUUUAAUUUACUUCUAGCCCCACCUGUCUACUAGCCUCUAGUAAAACUUCUGUGUUCCUCUUUUAUUGUAUUUAUAUCAUCACCCAAUAAAUUAACAUCAUCAGCAUGCAUCUGGUGAUGGACGGUGUCCUGUUCUCUCUGGACGAGAAGGCGAUUCAGGAACUCCGUGUCGAGGACGGCCGCUCCUUUCUGAAAGUGUUCUGAAGAUGUUCCUAUAGAACAAACCUAAGAUCGGGACUUAGUCAUGUGCAAAAUUUUUACACCAUCUGCAAGUUAUUCAUACAACAACGCAGACCCGCCCAUUACCGAACUGAAGCAAAAUAUCAGCACUUCCCCAAACAAGAGUGUCCAUGCAAUAUGAGGUUUCCACCCACAAUGAAAAUAUCCUAAUCCCACCAUGCCAAGUGUGAAAACACAUGCAUGUCAACCACCCCUACUUGAUGACAGACAACCCUGGAAUAUUCAUCAAAAGUACCCUGUCAGAAAUAACCGUACCAGUCCCAGUCUUGUUCAGGAACACGUAAAACGCUGUGUGACUCGAUCGCCAUACCCAACUGAAACGACUUCAUGUCACAUACGUCUGACUCGCAGACUGACCAUAUAGACACUCUGAUAGGUAAACACAGGGAGACUGAAGUGAUCACCUGUCAAAUCUCAGAUUUACUUUGUUCAAUAUUUACAUUCCUCUAUUAGUACCAGUAAUCCAGCCAAUCUGACACACUUAAUUUCACAGUUACAUCCACAAUUCAUUCUUGGCAAUUUUAAUGCCAAGAAUGUUCUGCGGGGCUCAGCCCUUACUGAUGAAGGGAGAAGAUCAGUCUAUUAUAUGUGUGCUGUGUUUGACUUAAUUCUAUUAAAUACAGAUGCACAUAUGCACCUCUGCGUGGGGUCAGGAACCUCAUUUGCUGUGGAUCUGGCCUUUUGUAGUCCGGGACUUGCAGUCCAUCUUGACUGGUCUCUUCUUCUGGACUUACACUGUAGAGACCACUACCCAGUAAAUUUACACAUAUCUACACCAUCUCCAACAGUGUCAAGACAUCCGAACUACAUCACCAGCCGUGCUGACUGGGUUGGUAUCUCACAGUCAUUGAUCUUUGAGGACCAGAAAUUUCCUUCUCUUAACACAAUGGUGGAGUAUUUCAUUAGCACUGUAUUCCAAGGAACUUCACAAAAUAUCCCCAAGUCGUCCACCACACCCUGUAGCACACCUGACCCAUGGCAGACAGAUGAAUGUUGUAAAACAUAUUGUGCUAGGUAGCAAGCUAUGAGAUAUUUUAAAAUUCACCCUAUAUUGCAAAAUUUGAUAUAAUUUAAACGUUUCAGGGCCAAAGCCCAGCUUAUCAUGCGCAAUGCCAAGCACACUUCAUGGAAGACUGUCUCUAGCCUCUCCUAGUCUGCACGUUUAGAUGUAGUAUGGAUCAAAAUACGAUGUAUGUCAGGUAAAUGCAAUCAGACUCCCAUACCUGGCAUCUCUGUUGACGGCGUUUUCAUUACACCCCAAGCCAACAUCGCCAACAACGUAGUUUCUUCUCUCUUCAGUAUGUAGUUCUGACAUCUGUGAUACUUGUUUUAGAGAUGUUAAUAACAGCGCAGAAACAAUACACCUUAAUUUUACAUCUCAUGUCACCGUGCCAUAUGUCACAUUUAGUUUGGACGAACUACUGGCAGCAUUAGAACACGGCUGCAACACAUCCUCCAGCCCUGAUGGUAUCCAUAAUGAAAUACUUUCUCACCCCUACCUGCAGGCAAGAAGUUUCUUCUGUCCAUUUUCAACCGAAUAUGGAUGAAGAGGUUGAUACCAGGUGCCACGAAAGAAGCUACUGUUCUGAAACCAGACAAAGACCACACCAUGGCAAGUAGUUAUGGACCAAUCAGCCUCACUAGUUGCCUGUGCAAGAAAAUGGAGCGCAUGGUAAACCGUCAUCUUGUCUGGAUCCUGGAGACUCAAAAUCUCUCCAAUGCUAAAUUUGGAUUGCAACACCAUAGAUCAACCAAUGACCACUUGGUGAACCUGGAAUAGAACAUACAAACUGCCUUUAUUGUACUUCAGCACCUUGUUGCUGCCUUCUUCAACCUGGAGAAGGCAUAUGACACAACUUGGUGGUAUGACAUCCUCAUAACCCUUCAUCACUGAAAUCUCAAGGCUCGACAACCACUGUUUCUUUUUAAUUUCCUCUAAGGCUGUUAUUUUCUUGUAAAGAUAAUGAGGCUAGAAUAGUAAACUUAAUAUAUUUUCAAGAAUACCAUGUUCCCUCAUCAGUGAAUUCAUAAAUAUACUUGGAUUUCUAUUAAUGAAAGGACAUACAGAUUGUUCACAUCUUGAUAAUGUAAUGAGUAUCAGCCAGUGUAUCUGUUAAACAAGAGUUCCUCCCUCCCCACAGACUGGUGGCCAGACCUCUGGAUGAGGACAGCCAACCUGUGUGUGCACAUUGUACAGGCUCUAGACUUUUCACUAGUACCCUUCUGGCUGGUGAUAACUUAGAUAAAUACCUUGUGGGGCUGGUGGAGUGUGUUCUAGAACAAUCACCAUUUCAUUACAUACAAGAUGCUGCAAUUAGCCAGCCAAGUGGUGAGGCAGUGAGUGAACAGUGCGGAUUGACAAUUCAGUUUGGAGUCUGUUCCAGCUGAGUGAUCUGUAGUUCGAAGUCAAGGUAUGAAUAGUGUGAGCAGGGGAUUACCUGUCAUGAAGGAGUGGAUUUGAAAACUGGAAGUCACCAUGAACAUUGCGUUAUGUUUACUACAAGGACAAUUGUAAAUUACAAACAAACAAAACUGAAAAGACAGAAAUUAUAAUCAACAGUGAACAGUUAUUUCAUGUGUUAUUCUUUCAGUGUUUUCAAGUUCAGUAACCAAGGAUGACACUGAUCAAUAAAGUUUUGGUAACAUGAUUGAAAACUACCAUUUUCAUUAAUUUUGACAUGCUCAUUGCAGACAUGACUUAAAAAUUGUGCAUCACAUAACAGUGUAGAAGAGAAUAGUAAUGGGAAAGGGAAGAUGACAUUCAUAUGAGGGAAAAGUAACUUUAUGUGCUAAAUUUGUAAACAGAGUAGAAACUUUUGUAAUUUUCAUACUUUUCUGACAUAUUUUCUGUGUGUGUGUGUGUGAACCAUAAUUUAAGAUUAUAAUAUUUUAUUAGUGGAUUUCAAAUACAGGUUUCUUCAUCUGAGUCUUUUCUUACUGUUUUUCUUAUAUGAACAACCAUAAUUCAAGCAUAUGAUAUUUUAAUGGUCAUAUCAACUUUAAUCUCAAUCAAAUAACAUCCAUAUUUCAAACUGCAUAAUAGGUGAUACUUUACUUUAUGUGUUUUGAAUAACAUAAAAAUUAGGGACUAACAAAAAUCUGAGUAUGUUACAAUUUUUUUAUUGUUGUUUUCAUGAUCAGUGUACCUGAUUUAGUAAAAAGAGAUUAUUUUGCAUGAUAUCAAUGACAAAUAAAAAUUAGUUGUCCACUGUAAUUAAUUAUAAUUGAAAUCCAGCUUGAAGUGAACUCAUGGAAUCAGUAAAAUUGUUACAAUAGAAAGAUGACAGUCAAGUCUACUUGAUGUCCAGUCUUUCAGAGGGACUGACUAUGAUACCAGUCAGCAUUUAUUGGCUGCAAAGGGGGCUAUCAAACAAGGAACAUGUAACUUUUGGUAUGCACAGAUUAAAUCUGAAAAGGAUAAACAAUACAGAAGAUAAGGAACAGUGUCAGAUCAAAAUCUAAAACAGGUUUGCAGUUUUACAAAACUUGGAUCAUAAUCAUGGUCAAGUGAUUAGGACUUCUACUUUGUAUUCAAAAGUUCUCAGCUUCAAAUCUCAGCCCAUAAAUCAUCUAUCAUGACUGGGUUUUUGUGGUUUUCCGCAGUGCCUCCAGUACCUUCAGUUAGGCCAUAACCACAUCCCUACACAUCCUUUUUCAAUUCAUUAUUCACUAUCACCCUCUCGUUUGAUGGGUUGUAGUCUGAGUUGCUGAAAGCAUAAUUUAAAAAGCUCUUAAUAAAUAAAAUUUAGAUAUCAGUUGGACUUGGGAAAAUGUUAGAGAGAAUAUCAAAAUUUUAGCCUGAAUUUAAGCAAUAUAAAUUGCAGUCAUUGCAGAAUCUGAGCCAAAUGACUGGAGAUAAUAUUGACGUGUAAGACGUGAAGCUAGAAGAAGCUUCAGGACCAAAAGGAGGCAUAUUUUGAAGACAAAAUUAUGAGGUUUAAAUAAACAUUGGGAACAAAAAUGGUAGGGAUAUGUGCACUGUCAUAAAUGAGUUUAAGAAUGGUUACCAACCAAUAACUAACUUCAUAAAGGAUGAGAAUGGUCAUCUGCUUGCAGAUUCCCACAGUAUUUUGAAUAUGUGAAAGAAUUACUUUUGCUAUUUGUUGAAUGUUUUGUAUCUUAAUGAUGUUGGGCAGACUGAAAUACAUGCAACUAAGUCAUUAGCACCUGAGCAUAGCUGUUUUGAGGUUGCUGUUUAAAAGCUAAAAAGAUGUAAAUCACAUUCUGAUCAAAUACUUGCAGAAUUGAUCCAAGGAGGAGGUAACAUAUUAUGUUCUGAGAUCCACAAAUAUAUUAAUUCAAUUUGGAAUAGGAAACAACUGGCAGAGAAGUGAAAGGAAUCUGUUACUGUACCUGUACAUAAGAAGGGUGAUAGAGCUGACUAGUGAUUAUCAAGGAAUGUUGCUGUUUUAAACAGUACACAAAUUUUUAUUUAACAUUCUUCUUUCAAAUUUAAGUCCAUUUGUAACUGGGAAGGCUUCACCAGGAAGCUACUGAAUAAGACCAAAUAGGUCUAGAGUGCUUUGUUAUUGGAAAUUUUUUAAGAAGGAAAGGAUCAUUAGGCACUCUGAGUGAGUUGUAGGACCUUCUGUUAGGGUGUCAGUUCUACUGAUCCACUCUCUGCCACCCUUCUUUCUUCAUCCAAGACCACCUCUGAUUUGAGCACACAGGUCUCACCUUACAGGCUAUCAUCAUCAUUUCUGUUGGCCAGUGUUUCCUCUUGUACUCUUACCUCCUUACAUGUUGGUGGCUUCAUCUGCUUUAUCCUGCUCUUGCAUAACAUCUUUACCCUUGACCAUCUUUCUUCCAACCUGUGUCACUGCUUUGUCUAUCUUUGAUACCUCAAAAUGUCUUCCUUGAAUUCUGCACUAACCAGAAAGCCAGAAUUCCCCUUGAUUCCACCCUCAUUUCUAACCCCUGGCUGGUUUUUCCUUUUCUCUUUUCUGACAGCCACUUCUCUCAUGCUCUGUUGAUACUGUUUCCUGUUGACUGAGACCAUCUCCUUAUCCUCUCCUCAUACCUUGGCACUGUUUGUCCAGUCCCUCUGGUCUAGUCAUUCUCCUAACCCUACUCAAGUUGAAAUCUGGGAGCAUUUAUUAGAAAAUAGACAUUAUUUCAUGUCAAUUUUUGAAAUACUGCUUCAUGUUUCUAUGUGUUCUACAAAUUACACUGCAGAAAUGGAUUAGGAAGAGAUAGUUGUAAGGAUAAGGUAAUGGACAGAAUUUUUAAAUUUUCACUGCUUACUGUUUUGGAUAACCAAUCUUUCCUGAGAUGCUCAUCUAAUUAGGAACUUCCUGCCUGUUAUAGAAUGGGUAAAUUCAAUCCAGUCCAUAUAUUCACACCCUAUUUCUUUCAGGUCCCUUUAGUGGCAUCUUCUCAUCUAUGCUAAGGCCCCCAAGUGGUCUCUUUCCUUCACCUCCAAUCACCUUUCCCAUGCUACAUGUCUCAUCCUCAUUGAUAUGAUCACUAUAAUAUUUGGUGAAGGGCAUAAAUUAUGAUGCUGAUCAUAAUAUAGUUUUCUCCAGCCUCCUCUUAGUUCCUCUCAGGUCCAUAUAUUCUCUGCACCCUGUCCUCAAAACCACUUUGUCUUUGGUUCAUCUAGAUUUAAUCAGAGCUUGUAUAAAAUCUAAUUUUUAUAGCUUGGAACCAGACAGCAGAUUGAAGUAUUGUCCGUGAGGCACGAGAGUAGACGUGGCCUUAUCAGCUGUUGCUUGUGUGGCAGGGGGAAAGUGGGUUCUGCGCAUGCGCUGGUGAUGUAUUCCUUACCUAAGAACAUUGUGCUAUCGGUCAGUCAGUACGUUAGCUCACGACGUAUGGCCUGUAUAAGCUGCGGGUGUUUUUCGGUCCACUAGUAGCACAGAAUUCUACCCCACCUCCCCCAAAGAUGUUGGGUCUACUCUCAUGCCUUGCGGACAAUAGUUAUAACAUUGCUAUUUUUUUUACUUCUGAAAAUAACUGAAAGCCAACAGCUCUAAAUUAGUGAAUAGGGUAUUAGUGUCAUAGUCCUCACCUGUAUUGUUAUUCUACCUGGGAUACGCUGUAAGACAUCUUGUUCUCUCACAGAUGAAGUAGUCAAGCAUUUCUAUUAAUUCCUGAUGACCUCUGAAUGAUGCUCAGUGUCUUAAUACUCACAAAGGACACAACUAAUUAACAAAGACUUCUUUUGAAGUCAGAGCCUUCAGAUUUUUUUAACUUACAACAU